rnacentral:ncRNA from 1 species
AGAUAAAUAUUUAUGAUUUUAGAAAUUUAUUUAUAAUUUAUUUUACAUGUAAAUUUUAGUAUGAAUUUUUAAUUAUUUUAAUAAUAUAAUUAAUAUUGCAGUAAUUAAAAUUAAAAAUUUAAGAAAUUAAGAUUUAGUAAUAUUAAAAUUAUUAACAAAUUUUGUGCCAGCAGUUGCGGUUAUACAAAAAAUGAAAUAAAUUUUUUUAAUGAUAAUAAAAAAUUUUUAAUUAAAUAAAAUAUUGAAUUAUUAGGUGAAAUUUUAAUUUAAUUAAAAUUUAAAUUAAGGUUUUGAUUUAAGAAAUUUUAUUAAUAGACUAGGAUUAGAUACCCUAUUAUUAUAAAUUUUAUUUAAACAUUAAAAUAUUAAAUAAUUAAUUAUUGAAACUUAAAUAAUUUGGCGGUAUUUUAGUUCAUUUAGAGGAAUCUGUUUAAUAAUUGAUAAUCCACGAAUAAAUUUACUUAAUUUAUUAUUUUGUAUAUCGUUGUUAAAAAAAUAUUUUUAAAUAAUAAUAAUAUUUUAAAAUUAAUAAUAAAAAUUAAUUCAGAUCAAGAUGCAGAUUAUAAUUAAGAAUAUAAUGGAUUACAAUAAAUUUAUUUAAAUGGAUAUUAUUUUGAAAAAAUUAAUUAAAGGUGGAUUUAAAUGUAAUUUUAUUUAUUUUAGUAAAAUGAUUAAAAAUUAAAAUAUGUACAUAUUGCCCGUCGCUUUCAUUUAGAAAUUGGAAUAAGUCGUAACAAAGUAGAGGUACUGGAAAGUGUUUCUAGAAAGA